CGUCAACAAAGUGAAAGAGCCAAGCGAACGUGUUGUUUACUGCAGUGUCAAUAUUAAGUGGAGACUACGUGGGAGGAGAUGAAGUUCCCUUACUCUGCCCUCGCCUCUGCUGUCCAGUGAAGCCAGGGAUCCCUUGAGCGAGGAGCCUCCUAUGUUGAGACCCACGGAAAGGCACAUGCAGUCACUCAGCUGCUAGAAAUUUGGCAGUACAGGGAGUGUGUAAAUCCAUUAAGGCCAAGAACGAGUAUUCUCACCGACCAGGUUCCUUUGGCCCCACUCAUGGACGAG